UGUCUUUCCACAGUCAGGAAAAGGCAAGUCUGUAGCUUUUAAACCAAGAGUCUUGUGACCAGCGUGACCAUCUGUCUUUCAAUUUUAUCAACUGUUUAUUUUCUGUAUAGAAAAUAUAGUCUGUAAUGUUGCUGUUUGAGCACAAAAAAAGAUCUGCGAAGUUACAAAGCUCAAAGUCCACUUCAAAAGGACAUAUUUUAAUCAACUGAAAUCACUUUCAAAAACUACUACAAAUGACUUCUUUGGACUACAACGUAUAUAUUUCUGGGAUUGUGAUAUCACAAAUACAGACAAAUGGUAUGAGACCUGGUUGAGCUGCACUAGAGAAGGCAAACGAGUAUUAUCACUAUCUCAGAGACAUGCUAGCUUUCCCAAGUCAAAUGAACUUCGAGUGAUUACAAUCAUACAGGUUCAAAUCAUGCUCAAAUUGAUUUGAUUUUGACACAGUAUUGACACAGUACACACUUGCCCAGCUAACCAAUCACAACACACACUGGCCCAGCUAAUCGAUCACAGCACACACUGGCCCAGCUAACCGAUCACAACACACACUUGCCCAGCUAACCGAUCACAGCACACACUUGCCCAGCUAACCGAUCACAGCACACACUUGCCCAGCUAACCGAUCACAGCACACACUUGCCCAGCUAACCGAUCACAGCACACAAUUUCCCAGCUAACCGAUCACAGCACACACUUGCCCAGCUAACCGAUCACAGCACACACUUGCCCAGCUAACCGAUCACAGCACACACUUGCCCAGCUAACCGAUCACAACACACACUGGCCCAGCUAACCGAUCACAGCACACACUUGCCCAGCUAACCGAUCACAGCACACACUGGCCCAGCUAACCGAUCACAGCACACACUGGCCCAUCUAACCGAUCACAGCACACACUUGCCCAGCUAAACGAUCAUAGCACACACUUGCCCAGCUAAUCGAUCACAGCACACACUUGCCCAGCUAAUCGAUCACAGCACUAGGUUAAACGUGAAUGUACAAGGAAACAAAACCUAAAGCGCUUAAGCUCAGUUAUGGUAGGUUUAUCUGCUCACGUUUUGUUCACUUGAUUUUGCGCCAACUUUAUAUCACAAACAAGUGAGCUCAUAAUAUUAUACAUGAAUGAUAUGAUUAACUACCACACAAUGAAUCAUAAUUGGAUCAUAAUUGAAGUUGCAGCAAACAAACAGGAGAGACCCAGUGUUAUCGCACAAGGAUGCAAAUCUAUGGAAUCGGUUUCAAAUGGUUCGCUUCACUUCACUGCACAUUACAGAGCCACCGAGUCUGAUCACACGGAGAAAUGAUUUUAGAUGACCCACUUACUUAUCAAUUAAACUAUAAACUGUGCUCUUCAUAUAAAAAUAAAUAUUCUAGGAAAAUAUUUUUUUUGGAAAACACUAGUCUUUUGUCAGUAAAUGGACUGAGCUGACUGGGGGGCAAUCAUGAAACUACUGUUUAGAUUUUCUUGAAUACUCUGUGAGUAUGUGUUUACCAAUUGCUUUU